GACGAACGCUGGCGGCGUGCUUAACACAUGCAAGUCGAACGGAAAGGCCCUGCUUUUGUGGGGUGCUCGAGUGGCGAACGGGUGAGUAACACGUGAGUAACCUGCCCUUGACUUUGGGAUAACUUCAGGAAACUGGGGCUAAUACCGGAUAGGAGCUCCUGCUGCAUGGUGGGGGUCGGAAAGUUUCGGCGGUUGGGGAUGGACUCGCGGCUUAUCAGCUUGUUGGGGGGGUAGUGGCUUACCAAGGCUUUGACGGGUAGCCGGCCUGAGAGGGUGACCGGCCACAUUGGGACUGAGAUACGGCCCAGACUCCUACGGGAGGCAGCAGUGGGGAAUAUUGCACAAUGGGCGGAAGCCUGAUGCAGCAACGCCGCGUGCGGGAUGACGGCCUUCGGGUUGUAAACCGCUUUCGCCUGUGACGAAGCGUGAGUGACGGUAAUGGGUAAAGAAGCACCGGCUAACUACGUG
rnacentral:rRNA from 1 species